rnacentral:rRNA from 1 species
CUGUCAUCUGGGAACAAUGUGAUCUACCUAACACGUGGAUUAUUGAUAGUACCGGAAGAGGAAGCAGUGGCUAACUCUGUGC